rnacentral:rRNA from 1 species
UAUGGAAUUCUGUAGGCUGUUGAUGUCCUGCUCAGAAGCUAACCAAGGUCGGGCCUGGCUGGUACCUGGAUGGGAGAUCGCCUGGGACUACACCAGGUACUAUAG